rnacentral:sRNA from 1 species
GCCGGGCACGGUGGCGCACACCUGUAAUCCCAGCAGUUUGGGAGGCUGAGAGACAGGAGGAUUGCGAGUUCAAAGCCAGCCUCAGCAACUGCAAGGUGCUAAGCAGCUCAGUGAGACCCUGUCUCUA